CGAGAUCUAACCCCCCCUCCUUGAUCCUAGCUAAUCCUUCAUGGUAAUCUCCCCAAUCAUGUGUGAGCGCCAAGGCAGGAAUAGUCAGAUUGUUACACCACAAACUCUGCCUUUUACCAUUCAAGCCUUUCAAUGGCGGAAGACGGUUCAGUGCUCUGAACCACCAGCGUUCCCAAGGCAGGAGAUCCUUGGGGUAGAGCCAUGUGUACGACUAUGAUGGUCCUCACCACCAUUGCUCUCAUCCUACGACAGAGGUUCUCCAACAAAAUCAAACCGCAGAGAGAGGAGUUUGAGGAAGACGUGCCAUACAUGAAGAGCAAUGGAGCAACAGAAACAGAGAAAUGACUGGUGGCCUCUUGAUGUCAAGACUUGUUCCACCGAUGCUACAGGACAGACUUCAUAUGUUCGUUUUACUGAAGAGGAAACAGCAAAUGAGUGAACAUGGGUAUGUUUCAGUUUGGAAGAAGAAACUGGACAAAGGCUGAAUUUGCAACAUCGCUAAUAAUGCUGUCUGCUUUAGAGUCAAAAUGUAUCUUUAGCUUGUGAAUUUGAUCAGAUUUUCAGGGUUUAAAGUAACAAAUAUGUGCCUCCAUACAAUAAAAUGCCACAAUGUUCUUCUC